rnacentral:rRNA from 1 species
UGAGGAACAUGACCUUCGGCGGGGGAUAGCCGGCCCAACGGCCGGGUAAUACCGCGUACGACCACAUGGGGACAUCCCUGAGUGGUGAAAGCAGCAAUGCGCCGAUGGAGUGCCUCGCGGCCUAUCAGCUAGUUGGUGAGGUAACGGCUCACCAAGGCGACGACGGGUAGCUGGUCUGGAGGGGAUGGCCAGCCACAUUGGGACUGAAGAAACCGACCCAGACCUCCGUACGGGAGCAG